rnacentral:rRNA from 1 species
AUUGAACGCUGGCGGCAGGCCUAACACAUGCAAGUCGAGCGGAUGAAGAGGGCUUGCUCUCUGAUUCAGCGGCGGACGGGCGAGUAAUGCCUAGGAAUCUGCCUGGUAGUGGGGGACAACGUUUCGAAAGGAACGCUAAUACCGCAUACGUCCUACGGGAGAAAGCAGGGGACCUUCGGGCCUUGCGCUAUCAGAUGAGCCUAGGUCGGAUCAGCUAGUUGGUGAGGUAAAGGCUCACCAAGGACGACGAUCCGUAACUGGUCUGAGAGGAUGAUCAGUCACACUGGAACUGAGACACGGUCCAGACUCCUACGGGAGGCAGCAGUGGGGAAUAUUGGACAAUGGGCGAAAGCCUGAUCCAGCCAUGCCGCGUGUGUGAAGAAGGUCUUCGGAUUGUAAAGCACUUUAAGUUGGGAGGAAGGGCAGUAAGUUAAUACCUUGCUGUUUUGACGUUACCGACAGAAUAAGCACCGGCUAACUUCGUGCCAGCAGCCGCGGUAAUACGAAGGGUGCAAGCGUUAAUCGGAAUUACUGGGCGUAAAGCGCGCGUAGGUGGUUCGUUAAGUUGGAUGCGAAAGCCCCGGGCUCAACCUGGGAACUGCAUCCAAAACUGGCGAGCUAGAGUAUGGCAGAGGGUGGUGGAAUUUCCUGUGUAGCGGUGAAAUGCGUA